rnacentral:rRNA from 1 species
UACGUAGGGGGCAAGCGUUGUUCGGAAUCACUGGGCGUAAAGGGUGCGUAGGCGGGUUUUUAAGUCAGAGGUGAAAUCCUGGAGCUCAACUCCAGAACUGCCUUUGAUACUGAAAGUCUUGAGUAUGGGAGAGGUGAGUGGAACUGCGAGUGUAGAGGUGAAAUUCGUAGAUAUUCGCAAGAACACCAGUGGCGAAGGCGGCUCACUGGCCCAUAACUGACGCUGAGGCACGAAAGCGUGGGGAGCAAACAGG